UACGUAGGGCGCAAGCGUUGUCCGGAUUUAUUGGGCGUAAAGAGCUCGUAGGUGGUUUGUCGCGUCUGCUGUGAAAACCCGAGGCUCAACCUCGGGCCUGCAGUGGGUACGGGCAGACUAGAGUGCGGUAGGGGAGACCGGAAUUCCUGGUGUAGCGGUGGAAUGCGCAGAUAUCAGGAGGAACACCGAUGGCGAAGGCAGGUCUCUGGGCCGCAACUGACACUGAGGAGCGAAAGCAUGGGGAGCGAACAGG
rnacentral:rRNA from 1 species